UGAUUUUAAUCCAGGACCGAAGCUACGUUGAGAGAAGUGAGUGUUCCGCGCAAUACAUCAUCAACUAGCGGAUAUUCCUUCAUUUGUGCACCACAGAAGAGCUACAAAAUGAACGCUUCUCUUGAUAUACCUCCGAACAAUUCCAGCUACCACGCCGACUUCAACAUCACAGUAACUACCAUGUCAAGGCGCGGCGUGGCGCCGGAUUUUUCCCAGACAACACAGCUUCUAGAUGUAAGGAUUGCUGUCCAGGCGGCAAUCCAAAAGUACAAUCUGACAGAGGUCACUGACCACUCGCCAGAGGACGCGGAUAAUGCCACAACGUCAUCGCUUACACACGGAAUGUACUUUUUCCGUGCGUAUAUCAGUCCGAUAAUAAUCUUAUUAGGAAUAAUAGGCAACUUACUAAGCAUUGGAAUAUUCCUCAGUUACAGAAAAUGGGACCAGGCUUCAAUUCAUUACUUAUUCUACCUCGCGUUAUCCGACACUGGGAACCUUCUUUUCAAUGGAGUCGUGGAAUGGUUUCACGUCGGCCUCAAAUACGCCACGAGAGAGAGCUUCUGGAUUGACAUCCCUGCGAUGAAUCUCGGAACAUGUGUGUUCGUUCGCUACGUGUGGUUACAUUGCGCCUUUUUGAGUUCGUGGAUUCUCGUCUUUUUCACCAUUGAACGAUUCAUCGUAGUUUGUUUUCCAUUACGCGCCUUCAAAUGGGUAACUGUGGGCAAACGGCGGCGAAUUCUCGUGAUAUUGACGAUAGUCAGCGUGAUUUCCUGGUUCCCUAUCCCUUUUAUAUACGAUGUUUACAAAAAACACGGAUUCAGUGUCUGUCUUCCAAACUCUGAAAAAUCAACUUGGAUGUCGUAUUAUUUUUCCUUUCACUCAAUGGCGACGACUUACUUUCUGCCAUGCGUGUUGCUGGGACUUUUUAACACUUUUAUCAUCAUCGGAAUUGCCAGGACGAGCAAAGGAAGGCAGGAAAUCCGAGGAGUGAAGAAAAGCAGAAAACAGGACGUGAUGAUUGCUGUAAAUCUCCUAGCCGUCUCCUCAGUCUAUUUGAUUCUGACGAUUCCAUUUUGCUUGGCGUGGGGACUAUGGUUCUAUUGGGAGUCAACGGGAUUUGUGGGGAAGACACUGCAGAAUAUCAAGGAAGGGUUGGAAGUAAAUCGAUUCAUUACAAGUAUCAGUAUUAUCAAUUACUCCGUCAAUUUCUGUAUAUACACCGCGCGGCUGACGUUUUUCAAAAGGCGGGUGUUGAAUUUGUUUAGGUGCAAGAAAUACACGAAGCUUGACUCCACGAACAACAGUCAAAAUGGAUCCGAGUCUCCAGGAAAGAGGACGAGAAUGGUAAAUUUGACCUAGCUGUUAGUGAAGAAGAGGCGUAGCUGAUGUACAAACAUGAUUUGAAAUACACCAUCCACUUCGCCAUUCUCCAACUGCAAGCAGAUCGAAAUGACAUCAUCAAUAAAUCUGCAGUGCAGUUGAUCUCGGGUUGUGCAGGAGUCUGCGACUUCCUCAAAAUAGGGCCUCUCGUGAUUGGCUAGUCAUUCGCUGGUGACAUAAGGAUUACUAAAAUUACAUAUUACAAAUGCCUACAAAUGACUUAUUUCAGAAAGUGCCGUAGGAGAAAGUGAGUAGGAUUCAUACACGUCACGUCUUUGAUUUUACUCAGCUCCGAUCCGCUAUUGACAGACGUUGAAACGAGAUUUCUCGAUUUUUGAAUACUGUUGCACAUGCGGACACCACAUUGCGCUACACGACUAUACGCGUGUGCAAUCGGGUAAAAAAUCUGGAAACUUGUUCCAACCUCUUAGGUUGAGAUUCUUGUAUUUAAAAAAAUGACGAAAACUAGAUUUGAGAGCAUUACACGUAUUUCUUAAAGCCAAAUGAUAGACGCAACAGACAUGAUUGCAAUACCUCGGAGAGGUCAGCUCUUGAUCUGGUCUCACAGACGUGACCUGAUGACGCACGGAGACAUAACACUAUGUGUGCUUGUAGCUUUAGAAACAAAAUAUAUUUUUCGAGCAAAAAAAGAUCUGUAUUAGACAUGAACGACUCUGCUUGCUUAUUGGGAAUGUGGCAUAGAACGAGUCAACCACACAAUAACAAAGAACAAAUUACAAGUACUCUGUCACGAACUGAUGACGUAAACACAUAAACUGAUGGACGUGAACAUAUAAAUGAUGACGUAGGUCUACACUCUUAAAACAAAUGAGUGAAAAUAACUAUGUGAUAGUAACUUUUUAACUAUUCUGGUAUUCCUAUUCCACCGACUAUGAAAUUAGUUGUUUUACGACCAUCGAAAAAUUAGUUGUUGACCAUUUUA